AGACUGAUGGAUAUGUCUGUUCAAGCAGUGAGUCUUAGUGGGAGUCAAAUGCUUCUGCUUUCAAGGACAAGCUGUGAUGAGGAGGGAAAUAAUAGUACCGAAGCUUCUGAUGUCACACUGCCAAGAAAAGCUUCUAGUGAGAAAACAAUGGCCCGUACCGCAAACCGACACAGGUAGUCGAGGAGAGCAUCCUAAGGUGAGCGAGAGAACUCUCGUUAAGGAACUCGGCAAAAUGACCCCGUAACUUCGGGAGAAGGGGUGCUGCUCUAACGAGCAGCCGCAGUGAAUAGGCCCAAGCGACUGUUUAUCAAAAACACAGGUCUCUGCAAAAUCGAAAGAUGACGUAUAGGGGCUGACGCCUGCCCGGUGCUGGAAGGUUAAGAGGA
rnacentral:rRNA from 1 species